UCAAAAAGUGACAUCAGCACGAAGGGCUGGUUCAAGAUUCAACUCACCAGAGGGAUGAUUUGAAUUUAAAAAAACAGCGAAUUCUUAUAUGGGAUGUGCCGCCUGAAUGGGAAGUGAAAACAGAUUCAAAAAUUACAAGUUUCCUGCAC